CCAGCCGCCGCCGCCCCCCCCCCGCCACCAGGGGCCCCGCAGCCCUCAGGGACUUGGGGGGCGGACAGCCACCCAGAAGCCCAAGACAAACUCCCCAGCUCGAGUGCCGCCUCUCGUCUGCCCUCUCUCGGAGCCUCGGUUUCCCCUCUGUGAACUGGGGACCGCCGCGCUGCCUGCCCGCGGGGUUUGAGGAAGUCACAAUAAGCACAGCCCUGCCCUGCGGACCACGUGCAGUCUGGCUUUUGUUAGGCCACCAGGGGCCGCCACUGCGCCAUGAGCCGCAACCCAUCCCGGAGGUUUUCUUCCCAGCCCAGCUUCCUUCGAGACCCGCCCCACCCGCAGUCUGUCCCGGCGCCGAGCCGCAGCCUGCGCCCCAGCAGCGUGCCCCUGCCACACAGGGCCUUUGCAUGGCUGUGCUGCAAGGGCCCCAGCAUCCGCCAUCCCAGGCCUCUGGUGAGCGCACGAUCCUUCCAAUGCGAGUUCUGAGGCCCCUGCACAGGAAUGUCGAAACUCCAAGCCAAGGCCGAGCAGAAAUUUCCAGAUCUCCUGGACCACACACGCAUACACGCACCAUCCAGUUCUCAAAGCACCUGCCAUGGCUCCCCAUUGCCAUCUCAAGUCCUCCAGCUGCUGUCAAGACCUGUCACCUCCCCUGAAUGUUCCCCUCCUGCCUGGGUUUUCCCAUCCAGCCUUUGCAUGACUGGCUCUUCUUGCCUUGCCCACCCAGCAAACUCCUACACACCCUGCAAAACCCAGUGACUCUGCCCUCCCCUCCUGGAAACUGAAAAGUGUGUUAUCCACAUUUGCUGUGUGAUCCGAAGCCAG
rnacentral:lncRNA from 1 species